rnacentral:rRNA from 2 species
GCCCUUCGGUUGAUCCUGCCGGACCCGACUGCUAUCGGAUUGAGAUUUAGCCAUGCGAGUCGAACGCUUCCCUGUUGCGGGAGGCGUGGCGUACGGCUCAGUAACACGUAGUCAACCUGCCCUGGAGACAUGGACAACCCCGGGAAACUGGGAUUAAUCCAUGAUAGGUCAUCUCAUCUGGAAGGAGAGAUGGCUUAAAGGGGUGCGAGAGCUUCUUUCUUGUAUCUGCUCCAGGAUGGGACUGCGGCCGAUCAGGCUGUUGGUGGGGUAAUGGCCCACCAAACCUGUAACCGGUACGGGCCUUGAGAGAGGGGGCCCGGAGAUGAACACUGAGAGAAGGGUCCAGGUCCUACGGGGCGCAGCAGGCGCGAAACCUUCGCAAUGCGCGAAAGCGUGACGAGGUUAAUCCGAGUGGUCCCCGCUGAGGGGAUCUUUUGUCGGCUGUAAAAAGGCCGGUGAAUAAGGGGAGGGCAAGUCUGGUGUCAGCCGCCGCGGUAAUACCAGCUCCUCGAGUGGUCGGGGCGAUUAUUGGGCCUAAAGCAUCCGUAGCCUGUUCUGUAGGUCCUCUGUUAAAUCCAACGGCUUAACCGUUGGCCCGCAGAGGAUACCGCAGGACUAGGAGGCGGGAGAGGUGGACGGUACUCCACGUGUAGGGGUAAAAUCCUUUAAUCCGUGGAAGACCACCAGUGGCGAAGGCGGUCCACCAGAACGCGCUCGACGGUGAGGGAUGAAAGCUGGGGGAGCGAACCGGAUUAGAUACCCGGGUAGUCCCAGCCGUAAACGAUGCAAGCUAGAUGAUCCGGUCGCAAAUCGCGAUCGGAGUGUCGCAGGGAAGCCGUUAAGCUUGCCGCCUGGGGAGUACGGUCGCGAGACUGAAACUUAAAGGAAUUGGCGGGGGAGCACCACAAGGGGUGAAGCCUGCGGUUCAAUUGGAGUCAACGCCAGGAAACUUACCAGGAGAGACAGCAGGUUGAGGGUCAAGCUGAAGACUUUACCUGACGAGCUGAGAGGAGGUGCAUGGCCGUCGCCAGCUCGUGCCGUGAGGCGUCCUGUUAAGUCAGGCAACGAGCGAGACCCAAAGGGCG